UGAAAACACAAAAUAGAAAAAUUAAUAUAAAUAAUACAUGUUCUAAUGAAAUAAUGAAACAUUUACAUAAACACCAAGAAUCUGUUAGAAGGUUGAUUUAUAAAGUAAUAGAAGAAAACAAAUGAAUUCGAACUUUAUAGAAAAACAAGAAAUCAAAGAAAAUUCCAUUUUUUGAAAUAUAGUUAUGCUAUAUUAUUUUAUGUAUACUUGCUACUUAAUUUAUGAUUAUGUACAGACUAAUUAAUUUCAGUUUCUUCAUUAAUUCCUACAACUAAUUUAUUUGACAUUUUUUUAAUUAUAUAUAUUUAUUUAUGUUUGUAACCUAAAAUGUUGAGUACCUUAACUCAAUUAGUUAAUUACUAAAUUGUCGUAUUUUAUUUGUAAUACAAAUUGUUUAAUAUUA